UGGGGAAUAUUGGACAAUGGGCGAAAGCCUGAUCCAGCCAUGCCGCGUGUGUGAAGAAGGUCUUCGGAUUGUAAAGCACUUUAAGUUGGGAGGAAGGGCAGUAAGCGAAUACCUUGCUGUUUUGACGUUACCGACAGAAUAAGCACCGGCUAACUCUGUGCCAGCAGCCGCGGUAAUACAGAGGGUGCAAGCGUUAAUCGGAAUUACUGGGCGUAAAGCGCGCGUAGGUGGUUCGUUAAGUUGAAUGUGAAAGCCCCGGGCUCAACCUGGGGACUGCAUCCAAAACUGGCGAGCUAGAGUAGGGUAGAGGGUGGUGGGAUUUCCUGUGUAGCGGUGAAAUGCGUAGAUAUAGGAAGGAACACCAGUGGCGAAGGCGACCACCUGGGCUCAUACUGACACUGAGGUGCGAAAGCGUGGGGAGCAAACAGG
rnacentral:rRNA from 1 species